rnacentral:misc_RNA from 1 species
AACACUGUUAACCUGCGGUACCUGCGGAAGGAUCAUUAAAGAGUUUAACUACUCAAACCAUUGUGAACCUUACCUCAACCGUUGCUUCGGCGGGCGGGCCCGGGCCAAGCCCGGCGCCCCCCCGGCCCCUCGCGGGCGCCCGCCGGAGGUUAACCGAACCCUUGAAUUGUAUGGCCUCUCUGAGUCUUCUGUACUGAAUAAGUCAAAACUUUCAGCAACGGAUCUCAGAUCGGAAGAGCA